rnacentral:rRNA from 1 species
CAAACUGGAGAUGGCGACCGGCGCACGGGUGAGUAACACGUAUCCAACCUGCCGAUAACUCGGGGAUAGCCCUUCGAAAGAAAGAUUAAUACCCGAUAGUAUAAUGAAACCGCAUGGUCUUAUUAUUAAAGAAUUUCGGUUAUCGAUGGGGAUGCGUUCCAUUAGGCAGUUGGUGAGGUAACGGCUCACCAAACCUUCGAUGGAUAGGGGUUCUGAGAGGAAGGUCCCCCACGUUGGAACUGAGACACGGUCCAAACUCCUACGGGAGGCAGCAG